rnacentral:rRNA from 1 species
CGGCAGACGGGUGAGUAACGCGUGGGAACAUACCUUUUGGUUCGGAACAACACAGGGAAACUUGUGCUAAUACCGGAUAAGCCCUUACGGGGAAAGAUUUAUCGCCGAAAGAUUGGCCCGCGUCUGAUUAGCUAGUUGGUGAGGUAACGGCUCACCAAGGCGCGAUCAGUAGCUGGUCUGAGAGGAUGAUCAGCCACAUUGGGACUGAGACACGGCCCAA